rnacentral:rRNA from 1 species
UACGUAUGGUGCAAGCGUUAUCCGGAUUUACUGGGCGUAAAGGGAGCGCAGGCGGCGCGCCAAGUCUGAUGUGAAACCCCGGGGCUCAACCCCGGGCAUGCAUUGGAACCUGGCGGGCUGGAGUGCCGGAGAGGUAAGCGGAAUUCCUAGUGUAGCGGUGAAAUGCGUAGAUAUUAGGAGGAACCCCAGUGGCGAAGGCGGCUUACUGGACGGCAACUGACGCUGAGGCUCGAAAGCGUGGGGAGCAAACAGG